AUGACUUGGCCCAUGCCAACAAGGUCACCACCGUCCGCUUGUACUGAUGGGAGGAAUACCAAGAUUUCCCAAAGGGUGCAACCCUCCUCAACGACUUGGCAUCGUUCCCCACGAAGGCGACACAUGACCUCACACAAUGUGACGAGAUGGUCCUUGUGCCUACAGACGACACGGGAGAUCCAUGCAUAUAUAGCACGGUUAGGGCCCAACAACAAAAUACUUGAGAUGUGGAUGUGCAGCGACAUCGACGAUGCCAACCAUCCACAAUGGGAUCGCUGCUACACUGUGAUUGUCUCGAGCAACUAG
rnacentral:rRNA from 1 species